rnacentral:rRNA from 1 species
AGCGGCGAACGGGUGAGUAACGCGUGGAUAACCUGCCCUGAGGUGGGGGAUAACCCGGGGAAACUCGGGCUAAUACCGCAUGAUACCGAGAGGUCAAAGGGGGCGUCGCAAGGGCUCUCGCCAUAGGAGGGGUCCGGCGUUCGAUUAGCUAGUUGGUAGGGUAAUGGCCUACCAAGGCGACGAUCGAUAGCCGGCCUGAGAGGGUGAUCGGCCACACUGGAACUGAGACACGGUCCAG